rnacentral:misc_RNA from 1 species
GUUGCUACCGAUUGGCUGUGGGAUAGAGCUGGGGGGAGGGCGUCUCUUAGGGGUGACCUUUUGAGAUGCUGCGAAUCCCAGCAAUAUUUCCCAGCUAGAGGAAGCAAAAGUCGUAACAAGGUUGCUGUAGGUGAACCUGCAGAAGGAUCA